AUGGGGGAGCUUUGUGUCUGGUAAGUAGUGUUGUCUCGUUGUCGUUGUCGCGGCGUCUUUUUUGAAACCUCCUUUUUCUUGUUCUUGUCCUCGUUUGUGUCCACUUGUCUUAGUAGCCUGGGUGGCCUCCCAAAAGUUUCGCGUCUUAUGCGGAUUAAUUCGGCCCGGAAUUUUUAUAAUACCGGGCGAACCGUACGGACGGAUUCUUGAGGGGAGGUGGGUGAAAAUCACCACGCUGCCUUGUAGCGAGCGAACUAGCACCCCGUCCGUCGGGCGAAAGGGAAUCUGGUUCCUAUUCCAGAACCCGGUUGCGGAACCGCACUCACGAUCCUCGUAUUGACACGGUAACGUGAAAGACCCCAGAGAAGCCGUCUGGAGCCCCGGGAAGAGUUUUCUUUUCUGCCUGAGCGUUCGGGUUCCAUGGAAUCCUCUAGCAGGGAGAUAUGGAAUGGAGCGCGAAGAGCACCGCAGUUGCUGCGGUGUCCGGGGAGUCCCGUCGGUCCUUGAAAAUCUGGGUGAGGGUCACGUGGAGGCGCCGCAGCCGGCUCGUACCCAUAUCCGCAGCAU
rnacentral:rRNA from 1 species